UACGUAGGGUGCGAGCGUUAAUCGGAAUUACUGGGCGUAAAGCGUGCGCAGGCGGUGCACCAAGCUCGAUGUGAAAGCCCCGGGCUUAACCUGGGAACUGCGUUUGAAACUGGGAGGCUAGAGUGUGGAAGAGGGGGGUGGAAUUCCAGGUGUAGCAGUGAAAUGCGUAGAGAUCUGGAGGAACACCGAUGGCGAAGGCAGCCCCCUGGGCUAACACUGACGCUCAUGCACGAAAGCGUGGGGAGCAAACAGG
rnacentral:rRNA from 1 species